ACAUUAAUUCAAUUCUAAGUCGUGCAUUAUGCGCGCACUACCCGUCCCAUACGUAUGGUCUAAGAGGAAUUGGACCUCUAUUUGGGUGGUUCUAGACCUUACUUAGGCUGCUCAGAAAUGUUAAAAUUAUGCAACAUAUAAAAACACAUUGGACUUCAAAUAUGGGAAAUUAAGGGCUCAAGUUGUCCUCCACACUUAAGCAACAAAUGCACGCAAAACUGUUUUUCGUGCUAGGCAGUUUCAGAAUUAAGAUCCUUAAGCCUUGUAUACAUGCUUUCUAGAGAGUAUUCAUUUAAACAUACAGGUAGUUUCAGAUGCAAGGCGUUGCUCAUAUCCAAAAAAAUUAUACGCUUGUUGCAUGUUGAUUUGAAAUUACUGAUUUCAAGUUAUUGAAUCUACAGAUGUUGUUACGCAAUAAAGACAGUGAAAUCUAUUGGAGAAAAGCCCAGAAUUACUCAUGCUUUCUGACAGCGGUAUGAAUAAGCAGUAAACAGUAUUUGAGAGGUUCAAUAUUAACAUUUUAGAGUAAGAAAUUAUACUCUACAUGCAGAAUCUCUAACAAUUAGUGCUUGGAACCAAUUUUGUUAUGCUUAGCUCCUACAGACAUGUUUUCUAGAUGAAUAGAAUAAUACCAACAAAUGGAAUAAUUGAAAUCCUAUAGGCAUGAUUUCUAGAGCAUAUGCAGCAGUGAUGCGGAUUGGAAGAAAGUUCAGUGAUAUUUGUUUCCUAUAGGCAGGUUUUUUUUAGUAACAUGAACCAGUAGGAAUAGUUGAAGCAUUUGAACUUGUGUUUUUCUAGCAGACGAGUAGUAUGGGUGUGUGCUUCUACUAAUGACAUGAUUUCUAUAGUGCACAUAGAGAUCGAACGGCAUAUAUAGCAAGUAAAUCAUUUGAUCCUAUAUGCAUGUUUUCUACCCUUGCACACAAAUAUCAGAAUUUACCCAUUCUCCUUUUUUACUAAAACACAAUUGUUUAUUAAAAAGUUAUUACAGAAACAUUGACAAAGUAAUUACAAAUAUCAUGCAAAAAAUGACAGUAGGCCCAAAAUAAAUACCCAGCACUGUCUGGGCCUUCAACAAUUCUCACGUAGCAUACCCAAAUUUCCAACAAGGAACAAUAUUCAUCAAACAACCCAUAAUCCAUAGAAGAUCUCAAAGCCAAAUCACAUAACCAUAGAUUGACCAUAUUACCUAAGCAUCAAAUUACUUAAACCAACCGGCUUACAUGUUCAUUAGACAAUAGGAAGAAGGAAUUGAGUGGGAUAGUUCAGGUCUCAGUAGUAUAUAAAGUGGCUAAAAGACCCCAAAUCCUAGUGUGUCAGAGCUCACAAGGGCCUCAAGUAGACCCCGAACAGUUCCUGCACUAGGGAGCUCAGUAGUAAGGGUCUUGGUGGCCUUAGCUUUCAGUCGGCCAAGAAUGAUAGUUUCGGAAUAGCAUAGGUACGAAUGAGAGUAUGUGGACAAUGGUUAAGGGACAGAAGUUGAGGAAAUGCACGUAUAGCUUAAAGCAGACCUAGCAAAGCUGAGCACACAUAGCAGCUAAUCAAGCAAGUAACAGGACUUAGAAGCAGGUUCAGCAAGAUUUCAAAUCUUAGAAAAAUAACACAUAGGCAACAACAUAUUAAAAGAGUUAGGGGAGAAAUAAGUUUGCAGGAUUGACAAAGAUUUUCAUACACAUGUGCAUAAUACCACUAGUUUAAGUAAGGCACCGACUUACAGUUUUGAAGCCUAAAGGUCCCAAUUAUACUAAGGAUUCAUCACAAUGUCAUAAGACAAUCCCAUGUUAACUUGUAUCAUGAAGCAGAAUAGUGUCAAACAUGGUAUGGAAAUACGAACUAAGAUUGCAAAUAUUUACUAAGGAUACAGCACUAAGCAAAACAAAGAUGUGCUGUGAGACACACUAACAGGGGAGCAGAUCAUAGUUGAUAGAAAAGGUCUUAACAUAUAUUAGACACAUUACAUAUGCAAGACUAUCAUUAUAGAGAUUCAUAACAGAGUGGGAAAGUAACUCAUGUCAAAUAGCAAAUGUAGGCAUUCAGGUAUUGACACAAUAGACUAAUUAACUAAAGAAGAUUCAAUUCAAGUGCAACACAAACAAAGUUGCAUAUAGGAGUAGCCUAGAAUACAUUAGCUAAUCAAAUAUAAGAGGGUUCGGAUUAUUCAAGUGAAGCAUGUUCAAAUAGCAUAUAUCAGAAUUGGCAGUUGUUAGGUAAAAAUAAACACUAAAGAGGUUCAAAACAAGUAUGAAAUUGACAAGGACACACACAAAAGUAACCUAGAACACAUUGUCUAAACGGACUUAAGAGAUUCCAGAAUUUUCAAAUUAAGCAUAAGCAUGUUUCAAGAAUUGGCAACAUUAGGUUAAAUUAAAUGCUAAGGAGACAUAAAACGAUUGUAAAGCUAAUAAAGUUGCACAUAAGAUUAGCCCAGAAACACAUUAAGCCAUGGAUUUCAGAAGUAGGAAUGUACUAAUCAUAAACAUAUAAGAAUUCAAUUGCAAAGGUCAAAUGACUUGCCAGUUAAACGGACAACAAUAAAGAUCAAAGUUCCACAAGAACCCAGAAUCUUAAUACGUCAAAGUUCCCAAGAGCUUCAAAGGAAACCCGGCAGUACUCGCACCAAGAGAAGGUUAAAUAAUAGAAUCUCAAUGACUUUGGAUUUCAGCGGGGCCAAAACAAAGUACAGAACAAGGGAAUGAGGGAAUAACAAAACAAAGCUCUAAUUCUUUUUAGUGAAAAUAUUGAUUAAGGUCUGUCUCAAAGGGGAAUGGGGGGGUUUAUAUAGCAGUAAAAUUGGAAGAACAAACAAGGAAACAAAAUAAAUCAAACCUAGAAUAAGGAAAAACGCAUAAAAAAUCGAUUCAGAAUCAAUUUAGGAGAGAAAUCGGGUAAACCCUAGUUCAAGAGGGAAUACAAAUCGAUAGAGAUCUCACUGAAUCAGACUCACAUAGCAUGGAAUUGAGUGUAUAUAGAAGAAAUAAUGCUCAAAAUAAAAGGUUCAAUCAACUUUAGUCCUAUCUCAGAAGAUCUCACUUGCCAAACUUAGGGAAGCACCCAAGUAACACCACAAAUGGACGAUCAGUAGUGAGAGGAGACCAAUAAGGUAAGUGAAUCGACGACUGAAUCCAUUUUAGAGCCGGAUUUGGAGAGGUUGAGAGAUACAGUGGCUGGGGUUUCUUAGAUAAAAAGAGAGAGUAGAGAGGAUUUAGGAGCGGCAGG
rnacentral:lncRNA from 1 species